UGAGAUGAGGGGGGGAAGUAUUUGUUUACUUAAACAGAACUGGGUGAUGUGAGUUCAUGAUACCACAAAAAAGGAAGUUCUGUCUUUUUGGGCCAUUGUUGACGUUGUUGCUCAACCCAAUAGCAGUAUCACACGCAUGCAGAACUGCACUUUGGUUUCUAAUUCAAAUAAGUGCAAAGUCUGAAGAUCAUGCAAAUAUUGUCCUUUUGCGUAGGUCUCAGCAGAGAUGCGACUAGUGAACCAUAUUUUCACUCGGAUGUUUUUGCUACAGCUUCAAAAGAUGUACUGUUUCAGUGUUACGUUAUGGACUGCGUCUAUAAUGUGGUUGCGAUUCAUUAACAAGUCUUGUUCUGCCGGUGAUUAAGCUGGCAUGUACUUUUGUCGUGGGAAAGACAGUGUUUCAUCAGCUAGGAUCGUUGACAUGCUUUUACUCUGGCUACGUUCAAUGGUGGCUGUCCCGCAACAUGUGGAGUCAGUGGUAUUUCUCUUUCCUUACCUGCAGAGGAAGGGUAUUUAAUGGUUGUUCUCAAACCUGGACAUCACAGAUGAGCAUGUUAAACCACUAAUGCAGAAAGACCACUUUUUAACCUUUUGUUGUAUACCCUGCAGGAGGUGGCUUCCUUCUGAGACUUAACAGCAAUCUAGGUUUGUUCAAUAUAUCAUAUACAUUGCAUGCAUGAUACUGUGAUCUUUUACUGUAAUUUCAAUGUCUUAUGGUCCUGCUCCACAGCUACAUGAUGAAGGAGCAGCACUUCAAAAGCCAGUGCUUCCAAAUAAACCUGUUGGACUAUAACCUGGUGUUGUGUGAUUUUUACCUUUGUCCUUCUGAGAAGGUUGUGGAUUGGCAGCCCUUUGUUAUCUAUAUCUUCUAGUCUUUCCCUGAAUCUGAUAUUUCAUACAGGACUCUACCAGCCAGUCACUAAUUUUAGGUGAAAAUGAGGACUGCAGAUGCUGGAGAUUAGAGUCAAGAAUGUGGUGCUGGAAAUGCACA